AUGCAGAUGAAGACAGUCAUCGCAUCAACGCUAUGGAACUUCGAUGUGGAGGUGAUGGACGGGCAAACAAUCCAGCCCAAGCAAGCUUGUAUACAGCAGAUGAAAAAUGGGCUCAUAGUUAAGCUAAAGAAGCGGGAAAUGUAA
rnacentral:rRNA from 1 species